rnacentral:tRNA from 1 species
GCUGGUGUGGCUCAGUGGUAGAGUGUAGGUCUGUGGACCAAAGGGUCCCGGGUUUGAUUCCUGGGCAAGGGCA